UACGGAGGAGGCAAGCGUUAUCCGGAAUUACUGGGCGUAAAGCGUGCGCAGGCGGCUAUGCAAGACAGAUGUGAAAUCCCCGGGCUCAACCUGGGAACUGCAUUUGUGACUGCAUGGCUAGAGUACGGUAGAGGGGGAUGGAAUUCCGCGUGUAGCAGUGAAAUGCGUAGAUAUGCGGAGGAACACCGAUGGCGAAGGCAAUCCCCUGGACCUGUACUGACGCUCAUGCACGAAAGCGUGGGGAGCAAACAGG
rnacentral:rRNA from 1 species